rnacentral:lncRNA from 1 species
GGCAGGUAGAGAGAGAGAAAGCGAGCGGGUCCCAGUCUGUGCGGCCGGCGCUCUCAUCAGUCCCUGCCUCCUCGCUCCAAGAAUUUCGGAGCGCGGCCAAGGCCAGGCUGGGUUCGAGUCUCGGCGGGAUGCAGAACUCAGGGAUGCGAUCAGGGUUUUUCUCAGGAGACAAGCUGCUGUUGGCUCUACAAGUGACAUCUCAGAGAGCCUGCAGUUCCAAAGAGGACAGAUCAGAGCUCACGAUCAGAGAAUUUGGUUCAUCUUCAGUAACACCUUAGAAGCAUUUCCUGUGGAAGACUUCUUGCAAACAGGAGAGAUGUGUCCUUACGUGACUGGUUCCCUGUGACCACGUUAAGCCUUAUGUUUUACUUAACACGGAAGUGUGAGCCGUCCAGUACUUGGGAGGAUAGUUCAACAGGGUCAGGCCAAGUACCUGGACACGGAAAUAUCCGCAGAGGAAGACUGUGGCCAUUCGAGCUCACAGCGUGAGCCACAGAACAUCCGGUCAUGGAGCUGGAAAACAAUUCAGUGAAGCAGACAUAAACAGGGCCCAUAUGGGAGAGACCAGAGGUAUGCACAGAGUGAAAAGAAACGAACACUUUAAAGCAGACUCACACACCUGUGUAUAGAAGGCUGCAUUUCAAGGAAAGGAAGAAGAGGUUAUGACCAAUAAAAUGCAAGUAUUCUGGCUUAUACA